CCUACGGGGGCUGCAGUGGGGAAUAUUGGACAAUGGGCGAAAGCCUGAUCCAGCCAUGCCGCGUGUGUGAAGAAGGCCUUCGGGUUGUAAAGCACUUUCAGUGGGGAAGAAAGCCUUGGGGCUAAUACCCCCGAGGAAGGACAUCACCCACAGAAGAAGCACCGGCUAACUCCGUGCCAGCAGCCGCGGUAAUACGGAGGGUGCGAGCGUAAAUCGGAAUUACUGGGCGUAAAGCGCGCGUAGGCGGUCUGAUAAGCCGGUUGUGAAAGCCCCGGGCUCAACCUGGGAACGGCAUCCGGAACUGUCAGGCUAGAGUGCAGGAGAGGAAGGUAGAAUUCCCGGUGUAGCGGUGAAAUGCGUAGAGAUCGGGAGGAAUACCAGUGGCGAAGGCGGCCUUCUGGACUGACACUGACGCUGAGGUGAGAAAGCGUGGGUAGCAAACAGGAUUAGAUACCCCAGUAGUC
rnacentral:rRNA from 1 species